rnacentral:rRNA from 1 species
ACGUAGGGAGCAAGCGUUAUCCGGAUUUAUUGGGUGUAAAGGGUGCGUAGGCGGGACGGCAAGUUGAAUGUGAAAUACCGGGGAUCAACUCCGGGGCUGCGUUAAAAACUGUUUUACUUGAGUACAGCAUAGUCAAGCGGAAUUCCCAGUGUAGCUGUAAUAUGCGUAGAUAUUGGGAGGAACACCGGUGGCGAAGGCGGCUUGCUGGGCUGCAUCUGACGCUGAAUCACGAAAGUGUGGGGAGCAAAUAG